UCAAGCCUGCGCGACUGGCGAUAAAUGGCCGCUCCAGCGGCCUGAGGUGGUGAACCACCGGGAAGCGCAGCCGAUGGCGCCUUGACCGUGAGUCGAUGGCGCUGUUGUUUCAGCCGUUCGCCUGGGCAGCCUUU
rnacentral:ncRNA from 2 species